GGAAUGAAGUGCUGACGUGUCAAUGCGACACACGUGAGCACGUGGGGUGGUCACGUGACCAGCAGGCAGCUAACAUGGCUUGGACAUGGGGUGAUCACGUGACCGGCGGGCGGACAACACGGGAUGGACACGGGAUUAACAUGGGAUAGGGACGAAUCGAACAUGGAUUAACAUGGGAUUAACAUGGGAUGGAGAUGAGUACAGCAGUGGAUCAACAUGGGAUGGACACGGGAUUAACAUGGGAUUAACAUGGGACCAACAUGGGAUGAACAUGGGUUGAACAUGGGAUGAACAUGGGAUGAACAUGGGAUGAACACGGGAUGAACACGGGAUGAACACGGGAUGGAAAUGAAUACAACAGUGAAUGAACAUGAGACCAACGUGGGAUUAACAUGGAUUUAACAUGGGAUGGACACGGGAUUAACAUGAGAUGAACACGGGAUGGAGGCGAGUACAGCAGUGAAUCCAACAUGGAAUUAACAUGGGAUGAACAUGGGAUGAACACGGGACAGGAAUGAGUUCAGCAGCGAAUCAACACGAGAAAUCAACAUGGGAUUUACAUGGGGUUAACACGGGAUUAACAUGGGAUGGACACGGGAUUAACAUGGGAUGGGCUCAGGGCCAACAUGGGAUCAACAUGGGAUCAACAUGGGAUUAACAUGAGAUUAACAUGGGAUUGAGAUGAGAUUAACACGGAGCGGACACGGGAUCGACACGGGGCCAACAUGGGACCUACAUGGAAUUAACAUGGAAUGGUCAUGGAAUGAUCAUGGGAUGGCCAUGGGGUCAACAUGGGACCAACAUGGGUUCUACAUGGGAUCAACAUGGGAUGGACAUGGGAUCAACAGGGGAGCAACAUGGGAUCGACAUGGGAUCUACAUGGGAUGGACACGGAUAGAGCAGCAAAGCAACAUAGGAUCAACAUGGGAUCAACACAGGAUGGACGUAGGAUCAACAUGGGAUUUACAUGGGAUGGACACGGGAUCAACAUGGGAUGGAGACGGGUUGAGCAGCAAAGCAACAUGGGAUCAACACGGGAUUGUCAUGGGAUUUACACACAAUCUACAUGGGAUGGGCACGGGUAGAGCAGCAAAGCAACACGGGAUCAACAUGGGAUGGACAUGGGAUCAACAUGGGAUCAACACAGGAUGGACACGGGAUGGACACGGGAUGGACACGGGAUCAACAUGAGAUGGACACGGGAUCAACAUGGGAUCAACACAGGAUGGACAUGGGAUGGACACGGGACAGACACAGGAUGGACAUGGGAUCAACAUGGGAUCAACACAGGAUGGACACGGGAUCUACAUGGGGUUAACAUGAGAUGGACAUGGGAUCGACACGGGAUGGGCACGCGGGAUCUACAUGGGAUCUACAUGGGAUCAACACAGGAUGGACACGGGAUCAACAUGUGAUGGACACAGGAUGGACACAGGAUCAACACGGGACGGACACAGGAUGGACAUGGGAUCGACACGGGAUGAACACGUGAUGAACACACGUGAUGAACACAUGACAGACACAGGGGCACAGUGCUAUUCCACCACGGGGCCGACACGCUAAGAACACGCCAAGAACACGCCAAGAACACGCCGAGAACACCCCACGAAUCUCUGCUGCCUUCCACGCCACGGCUCUUCCGUGACGACCCCGCGACCUUUCGCUCGCGCCACGCGCCCUUAGCGUGUCCUUAGCGUGCGCUAAGCAUGUUCUAAGCGUGUUCGGCGGCCAAACGCGGCGCUAAAGCUUUCAGAAGGGCGCGGAGGUGCCGGGCUCCGGCUUGAGCGGCUUCCAGAACUUCUUGGUGACCUUUUGGACCUUCAUCCGUGUCACCAGAACCGUCCUCAGCCGUGCCAGGAGCCGUGUUGGUGAUGAGGGAGAGGCCAAGGAGUCGCAAACCGCAAUGGCGAGCCGCCACCGCCUCGGAAACCGUGCUCAUGCCUGGAGAAAAGGGGGGGACACGCUAAGGACACGCUAAGGACACGCUAAGGGCACGCGAAGGGGAAGCGAAGCGCAGGCGAAGGGGUGAUUUCCCCCCAAAGUGGCCCCAAAAUUCACCAAAUAUCCCCAAAUUUCACUCAAAUAUACCGGAUUUUUCCCCAAUUUUCCCCCAAAUCCACCCAAAAAUCCCCACA
ensembl:lncRNA